rnacentral:pre_miRNA from 1 species
CUGCUACUCCCUCCGUCCGAAAAUACUUGUCAUCAAAAUGGAUAAAAAGGGAUGUAUCUAGAACUAAAAUACGUGUAGAUACAUCCCAUUUUAUUCAUUUUGAUGACAAGUAUUUUCGGACGGAGGGAGUAUAAG